rnacentral:tRNA from 2 species
AGGGGUAUAGUUCAAUGGUAGAGCAACGGUCUCCAAAACCGUAAAUGUGGGUUCAAAUCCUGCUACCCCUG